rnacentral:lncRNA from 1 species
GAUGCUGGAUCCAGAAUCUAUCAUAGCUUCCCCAUCCCAAUCAUUCAGGGAACAUAACAGUGUUAAACACCCUGGAUCUUUAGCCUUAGGAGGAUAAUUACUCUUUUGUGGGUGAACGACAAGAUCCUCUUCUUCAUCAGUAAGUUCCAUUUCAUCCUCCUUGUUACUUUUGAUUCUUUUUGAAUGGGGAGGACUUUGCUCAUUUUCUAAAGGUGACACCAUCACUUCACCAACUUCUUUUUCCUUAUAAUUUUCCUCUCCUUAAUCUUCACUACUCAUGGGUUCAAAGAAUUCACCCAUUAACGUCUCUUCUUCUUCACUGUUAACCACAUGGAAUGGUUCAAUAUCUUCCUCCCAACCAUUUUGACUGUCUUCGUCCCAACCACUCUGGCUU